UACGGAGGGUGCAAGCGUUGCUCGGAAUCAUUGGGCGUAAAGCGUACGCAGGCUGUUCGUUAAGUCGGGUGUGAAAGCCCGGGGCUCAACCCCGGAACUGCGCCCGAAACUGGCGAGCUUGAGUGCGGGAGAGGGAAGCGGAAUUCCUGGUGUAGAGGUGAAAUGCGCAGAUAUCAGGAGGAACACCGGUGGCGAAGGCGGAUCUCUGGGCCUUACCUGACGCUCAGGCGCGAAAGCUAGGGGAGCGAACAGG
rnacentral:rRNA from 1 species